CCGAUGGAGGGGGAUAACUACUGGAAACGGUAGCCAAUACCGCAUAACGUCGCAAGACCAAAGAGGGGGACCUUCGGGCCUCUUGCCAUCGGAUGUGCCCAGAUGGGAUUAGCUAGUAGGUGGGGUAACGGCUCACCUAGGCGACGAUCCCUAGCUGGUCUGAGAGGAUGACCAGCCACACUGGAACUGAGACACGGUCCAG
rnacentral:rRNA from 1 species